GUUGCAGCUGUAGCAGCAGUUGUGGCUGCAGUUGUAGCAGCAGUUGUGGCGGCAGUUGUGGCAGCAGUUGUGGUUGCAGCUGUGGCAGCAGUUGUGGCUGCAGUUGUAGCAGCAGUUGUGGUUGCAGCUGUGGCAGCAGUUGUGGCGGCAGUUGUGGUUGCAGCUGUAGCAGCAGUUGUGGCUGCAGUUGUAGCAGC